GAUGAACGCUGGCGGCGUGCCUAAUACAUGCAAGUCGAGCGAACAGAUGAGGAGCUUGCUCCUCUGACGUUAGCGGCGGACGGGUGAGUAACACGUGGAUAACCUACCUAUAAGACUGGGAUAACUUCGGGAAACCGGAGCUAAUACCGGAUAAUAUAUUGAACCGCAUGGUUCAAUAGUGAAAGACGGUUUUGCUGUCACUUAUAGAUGGAUCCGCGCCGCAUUAGCUAGUUAGUAAGGUAACGGCUUACCAAGGCAACGAUGCGUAGCCGACCUGAGAGGGUGAGCGGCCACACUGGAACUGAGACACGGUCCAGACUCCUACGGGAGGCAGCAGUAGGGAAUCUUCCGCAAUGGGCGAAAGCUUGACGGAGCAACGCCGCGUGAGUGAUGAAGGUCUUCGGAUCGUAAAACUCUGUUAUUAGGGAAGAACAAAUGUGUAAGUAACUAUGCACGUCUUGACGGUACCUAAUCAGAAAGCCACGGCUAACUACGUG
rnacentral:rRNA from 1 species